CAAUAGCGUAUAUUAAAGUUGUUGCGGUUAAAAAGCUCGUAGUUGGAUUUCUGCUGAAAACGACCGGUCCGCCCAUUGGGUGUGUAUCUGGCUCUUUCUUGGCAUCUUCUUGGUGAACGUUACUGCACUUGACUGUGUGGAGCGCUACCCAGGACUUUUACUUUGAGGAAAUUAGAGUGUUUCAAGCAGGCAUACGCCUUGAAUACGUUAGCAUGGAAUAAUAAGAUAGGACCUCGGUUCUAUUUUGUUGGUUUCUAGAGCUGAGGUAAUGAUUAAUAGGGAUAGUUGGGGGCAUUCGUAUUUAACUGUCAGAGGUGAAAUUCUUGGAUCUGUUAAAGACGGACUACUGCGAAAGCAUUUGCCAAGGAUGUUCUCAUUGA
rnacentral:rRNA from 1 species